rnacentral:rRNA from 1 species
UACGUAGGGUGCAAGCGUUGUCCGGAAUUAUUGGGCGUAAAGAGCUCGUAGGCGGUUUGUCGCGUCGAAUGUGAAAACCCGGGGCUCAACCCUGGAAGGCCGGUGGAAACUGUCGGGCUAGAGUCCGGAAGAGGCGAGUGGAAUUCCCGGUGUAGCGGUGAAAUGCGCAGAUAUCGGGAGGAACACCAAUGGCGAAGGCAGCUCGCUGGGACGGUACUGACGCUGAGACGCGAAAGCGUGGGGAGCAAACAGG